GAGUGGGUGUCUGUGGAAUCUGAUUGUGUGUGAGUGUGAGAGAGACAGGAAGCAGAGAGAGGAAGACAGGACGACAAAAGGUGAGGAGAUAGAGGGAGUGACAAAAGGAGAGAUGGAGGGAAGACACCGAAAGUACAUUCAAUGAUUUGGAGAGCUUACACAGGUCACUGGGAAAAGACAGUGGGGAGCAGAGGGAUGAGUACAUGGAACAGCGCGGAUGUACAGGUGCAUCGUGGGGAACUUCAUUCUAUGCAAACACAGGGAGAACAUGCAAACACCAGACAGAAAGGCCCUGCCCCAGCCAGGAUUCAACCCAGGACCUUCUUGCUGUGAGGAAAACAGCUGUGUGUGAGGUUAUCAUUUGAGAUAAAAGACACAUCCUGGAAUCAGAAACCUGUCAUUUCCACAUGGUAUGUGAUUUCCCAUCUAAUCCAAGCAACAUCUAAAA